rnacentral:rRNA from 1 species
AGUGAACGCUGGCGGCAGGCCUAACACAUGCAAGUCGAGCGGCAGCGGGUCCUUCGGGAUGCCGGCGAGCGGCGGACGGGUGAGGAAUGCAUCGGAAUCUGCCCUGUCGUGGGGGAUAACCUAGGGAAACUUAGGCUAAUACCGCAUACGACCCACGGGUGAAAGCGGGGGAUCGCAAGACCCCGCGCGAUAGGAUGAGCCGAUGUCCGAUUAGCUAGUUGGCGGGGUAAAGGCCCACCAAGGCGACGAUCGGUAGCUGGUCUGAGAGGAUGAUCAGCCACACUGGGACUGAGACACGGCCCAGACUCCUACGGGAGGCAGCAGUGGGGAAUAUUGGACAAUGGGCGCAAGCCUGAUCCAGCCAUGCCGCGUGGGUGAAGAAGGCCUUCGGGUUGUAAAGCCCUUUUGUCCGGGAAGAAAUCGUCUGGGCUAAUACCCCGGGCGGAUGACGGUACCGGAAGAAUAAGCACCGGCUAACUUCGUG